UGAAUAUGGGGGGACCAUCCUCCAAGGCUAAAUACUCCUGACUGACCGAUAGUGAACCAGUACCGUGAGGGAAAGGCGAAAAGAACCCCUGUGAGGGGAGUGAAAUAGAACCUGAAACCGUGUACGUACAAGCAGUAGGAGCACCUUCGUGGUGUGACUGCGUACCUUUUGUAUAAUGGGUCAGCGACUUAUAUUCAGUGGCAAGGUUAACCGUAUAGGGGAGCCGUAGCGAAAGCGAGUCUUAACUGGGCGCUCAGUCUCUGGAUAUAGACCCGAAACCGGGUGAUCUAGCCAUGGGCAGGUUGAAGGUUGAGUAACAUCAACUGGAGGACCGAACCGACUAAUGUUGAAAAAUUAGCGGAUGACUUGUGGCUAGGGGUGAAAGGCCAAUCAAACUCGGAGAUAGCUGGUUCUCCCCGAAAGCUAUUUAGGUAGCGCCUCGGACGAAUACUACUGGGGGUAGAGCACUGUUAAGGCUAGGGGGUCAUCCCGACUUACCAACCCUUUGCAAACUCCGAAUACCAGUAAGUACUAUCCGGGAGACACACGGCGGGUGCUAACGUCCGUCGUGGAGAGGGAAACAACCCAGACCGCCAGCUAAG
rnacentral:rRNA from 1 species